UUAACCAGACACCCAGGCGAUUCGUAUGCACGCUGACAUUUGAGAAGCCCGGGUCUGCAGGAUCCCAUUUGAUGGAGCUCACACUUGACUUUUACCUUCUCUCCCCUCCCCCAUCAAGUUGUGCUAACUUGCCCUCUGCCUUCCCCCGCAGUGUCACUACUCCAUCCAGAAGGGAGCUGCGUUUCUGGGACUUGGCACUGACAGUGUCCGAGUGGUCAAGGCUGAUGAGAGAGGGAAAAUGGUCCCCGAGGAUCUGGAGAGGCAGAUUGGUAUGGCCGAGGCUGAGAUGGAGUUUCGCUCUUGUAGCCCAGGCUGGAGUGCAAUGGCGCGAUCUCGGCUCACCGCCACCUCCACCUCCUGGGUUCAAGCAAUUCUCCUGCCUCAGCCUCCUGAGUAGCUGGGGUUACAGGUUGACUUUUCACUUUUUUGAAACUUUUAGUAAGUACAUGUGCAGGUUUGUUAUAAGGGUAUAUUUUGUGAUUCUGAGGUUUGGGGUACGAUUGAACCCAUCACCCAGGUAGUGAGCAUAGUA
rnacentral:sRNA from 1 species